rnacentral:rRNA from 1 species
CCCUUAGAUGUUCUGGGCCGCACACGCGCUACACUGGCAGGUUCAUCGAGCUUCAUGCCCUGAUCUGAGAAGAACGGGAAAUCUUUGAACACCUGCCGUGCUUGGGAUAGAUGUUUGCAAUUAUUCAUCUUCAACGAGGAUUGCCUUGUAAGCGCACGUCAUCAGCGUGCAUUGAAUACGACCCUGUAUUCUGUGCACACCGCCCGUCGCUCCUACCGAUUGAAGUUUUCGGUGAAUUUACUGGAGAUCCCUUUUGAAGGUGGUUCGCCACUGGAAGAAGUAUUCAAAAGUAAAUGAAUCGAAUGCUUUAGAGGAAGGAGAAGUCGUAACA